rnacentral:rRNA from 1 species
GACGUAGGGGGCAAGCGUUGUCCGGAAUUACUGGGCGUAAGGGCGUGUAGGCGGUGCGGUACGUAGCGGUUUUAAGCCUCCGGCUCACCCGGAGGAGGGCGGCUAAACGGCAGCACUCGAGGGCAGGAGAGGUGCGCGGAAUUCCUGGUGGAGCGGUGAAAUGCGUAGAGAUCAGGAAGAACACCGGUGGCGAAGGCGGCGCACUGGCCUGGCCCUGACGCUGAGGCGCGACAGCGUGGGGAGCAAACGGGAUUAGAAACCCGCGUAGUCC